GCUGCUGCGUGGGGAUUCAGCCGGGCCCAGCAGGGCUGGGUUGUUCAGCCUUGGCUUGGGGCUGUGGCAAGGCAGCUGCAGGUGUUUCCUCAGGGAGCUGCAGAGUGCCUCUGUCCUCGGGGCUGGGGGAAAUCAGGGUGCUGAGACAAGAGAGGCAGCUGAGGGGUUCCCUCCUGGGGUAGCAAGUGCUGCUGGUGGGCGCUGUCUGGCAGGCAGUGGGAGCUCGGCGGCCUCAGGAAGCUGCCGCUGCCUGUGGUAGCUGUGGCACUUGGGAGCUGGCGCUGUGUGGGCAGCUGUCAGCUUUAGCCUGGAGCUGUGCCCAGCUGGGGGGGCUGGGAGAAAGCAAGCAGCCCAAGGAGCCAGGCAGCAGGGAAGUGUCUGAGCCAGUGCCACUCUGUCCCACAUGGAAGCCUGGCUGGGAGGUGGGGCUGCAGGCCGCUCCAUGGCGGGGUGCCUUGCCCGGGGCUGCAGCGCUCAUGGCUGACCCUGUCCUUACAGUGACCUGGCAGACGGCCACUGGUGCCAAGCGUCGAGAGGAGCCGCUGCGUGGGAACAGGCAGAAGGACACAGCCUCUUGUGACCCACAGCAGGCCUUGCUCAAGGCACUCUCCUUGCUGGGCAGCGAUGACUGGGAGCUGAAGGAGAAGCAUCAAACAGCUGGCUGGGUCCCAUUCAGAAGUCGUGCUUUGCAGACUUUGUGAAAUUUGCCUGGCAGUUACCAGCGAGGUGAGCAACCUCUGCUCCAAGGUGUCCUACACUGCAAUCGUCACUCUUGGAGAGCUCUUUGCAACCUUGAAGAAGGACAUGGACUCCGAGGUGGAUGAGGUUGCUCAGGUCCUGCUCCCAGUGGUUUGGAAUUCUCCAGAGUUUGUUGAGAAAGCAG